UACGUAGGGUGCGAGCGUUGUCCGGAUUUAUUGGGCGUAAAGAGCUCGUAGGCGGCUUGUCGCGUCGGAUGUGAAAGCCCGGGGCUUAACUCCGGGUCUGCAUUCGAUACGGGCAGGCUAGAGUUCUGUAGGGGAGAUCGGAAUUCCUGGUGUAGCGGUGAAAUGCGCAGAUAUCGUGAGGAACACCGGUGGCGAAGGCAGCGAAUUGGCGCGAUAUUGACGCUCAGGCACGAAAGCAUGGGGAGCAAACAGG
rnacentral:rRNA from 1 species